rnacentral:rRNA from 1 species
GACGUAGGGUCCAAGCGUUGUCCGGAUUUACUGGGCGUAAAGCGCGCGUAGGCGGUCUGUUAAGUGCACAAGUGAAAGCUCCAGGCUCAACCUGGAAAGUGCGCGCGAAACUGGCGAGCUUGAGUGCGGGAGAGGGUCGCGGAAUUCCCGGUGUAGAGGUGAAAUUCGUAGAUAUCGGGAGGAACACCUGUGGCGAAAGCGGCGCACUGGACCACAACUGACGCUGAGGCGCGAAAGCUAGGGGAGCAAACAGG